rnacentral:piRNA from 1 species
CCCACCCAGGGACGCGUGGUGACUUU